rnacentral:lncRNA from 1 species
UUUCUGUUGACUUCUUUGAGGUUCUAUAUGACAUGCCUUGACCUAAUUUGUCUGUGAAAUGAUAAUGAUGAAUGAUAUGAAUGUGAAACCACUUGGGUUUGUUUCUUAAUUGUUUGGACUUGAUUUUGGAUAACUUUUACUUGCUGUUUUGGAUUUUUAUCUCCUUUUGACCCUAGGCUUGUCCUAGUGGUCUUGUUGCUCAUGUUUAAGUUUGGUUUUUCAGGUUAAGAAGCAAAUGCU